UACGUAGGGGGCAAGCGUUAUCCGGAUUUACUGGGUGUAAAGGGAGCGUAGACGGCAGCGCAAGUCUGGAGUGAAAUCCCAUGGCUUAACCAUGGAACUGCUUUGGAAACUGUGCAGCUGGAGUGCAGGAGAGGUAAGCGGAAUUCCUAGUGUAGCGGUGAAAUGCAUAGAUAUCACGCAGAACUCCGAUCGCGAAGGCAGCCUACCGGCGCGCAACUGACGCUCAUGCACGAAAGCGUGGGUAUCGAACAGG
rnacentral:rRNA from 1 species